ACAGCUGAAGGUUGCCUUUGAGACAGUAAGUGAAGAGAAUGCUUCCAACAAAGCAGCAUUAUUUUCUGCACAGAAAAAAGAUGAAAAAUCCAGUGAAAUGAUCUCAGAACUAACUUCUUGUGUCAAGGAACAGAAAGGGCGAAUUUCAGAAUUGUCCAAGGCUAAACAAGAGCAAGGGUCACAGUAUCGGGAGAGAGUAAACGUUUUAGAAGCUCACGUUGAAGAAGCUAGGAAACGCAUGAUUCAAUUUGAACUU